CCCUUAGCCCAGAGCCCAGGGAAAAGCUGAGGGGAGGCCAGGGACCUCGCUGGGCUGGGCAGGUGCAGGCCACCCCCGUCCCAGUGCCCUCAGAGACACCUAGACUCAUGUGGACCCGGCCGUGGCCCCUUCUGGGCAGCGCCAUCCAGGCUGGCCCUGCCCUCUGACCUGGGGCCGCAGGGGCUGGCCACCGUGGGCUCGGUCCCCCGCCACCCUGAUUCAUCUGCACCCCAAGGAAAGAGAAUGCGGAGUUGCAGCGCCCCAGGACCCACGAGCCCCCGAACACCAGGGCAGCACAUACUUCCAGUCCCAGGGGAGAGCAGAGCGGGACCAGGCCCAGCCCGGUGACACAGGGCAGACGGAAGGGCGCUCUCCAAAACAGAAGAGCCCAGGAGCUGCCGCGGCCGGGACAAACCAACCGCAGGCUGACCUAGGCCGGCAAUGGGUUUAACGCAUUGGCUGCAAAAGAGAAACACCCCACAAAUCAGGGAGAGAAGGGAAGCUGCCUACGCCACGGGAGGAGGCUGAGGAGUGAAUGCCGGGGCCGGGCGGGGCCAGUCCUCACAGCACUGUGGAGACCAGACCGAGGGCGACUGUCAUCACCACGAAAAGGCCUCAUCCACGGCAGAAGCCAACCUCACCACACCGACUGCACCAGAGAUGCCCAUGAGGAGAGCCGGCCUCCGAGAACGCGGCUGAGCUGUCACAGGCCACCGUCAGCAAAGGCAAGGACCCAGAUUAUGCAAAGGGAGGCGCGGCUGCCAUGGACUCCAGGGCCUCAGACACCAUCAACAAAAGCAAAGGGGACACAUUUGCAUCAAAUCCAUCACAAAGACGGCCUUCGAGACUCUGGGGGAAGUGAGAACACCGACGCACAGGCCCCCACGGCGCACAGGCCCGCACGGCGCACAGGCCCGCACGGCAACCCUGCUCCGCCUCAGCCUCAGUUCUGGUUCCUGCACCCUGGCCCGGGGGCAGAGCUGACCCGGUCUUGCCAGGGGGGCAGGGGUCCCCUGGCCCCAGGUGGUGCCACAGACAGCGGGGGGAAGCACUCAGGCAGAGUCAGGCACCCCACCAGGAAGGAAAACUCCCACGGCAGGUCCCGGGGCUGGGUGGGACCCUAGGGACCCUGGGUGGCUCCCAUCGGAAUCCUGCUAGAUCUGGGAGGACACUGGUCCUUCCAGAAGCGUAACCACAAACAGCCAUGGAAAACCUGGGUGGGCUGCGUUUCUACAUUUCCUUUUCUUUUUUUUUUUUUUCCAGAUGGAGUCUCACUCUGUCGCCCAGACUGGAGUGCCUUUUCCCCUCACAGCGUGGGAGCCAAUGGGUGAUGUCCCACCCUGGUUUCCCUCCACCCGAAGGCAGUCACCUUGGUCGCCGGCUCCUGCCUCUGCGAUGAUCCCCACGAGGGCUGCAGAGUGGAGGGCACAGCGAGGUUCGGCCUCAUUCCCCAGGGAGCCCCAGACGAGAGCUUGGUCCUGGGGAGCUGCCCAGGUCUUUGCCAUCUCCUGGCCUCCAUCCAGUCCCUCACAACUCGGCUCCUGGCCCUGUGCACCGAGCGAUGACUGCUAGGCCCGUGCGCCUAAGAGUCAGGCCUGUAUUCACUUCAGCUUUUAUUAAGGACUUUCAGGGAUUGGCUUUUUUAAAUCAUCGUCAAAUAUAUUGUUAUUAAAAGGAUAUGUACACUUUGGGA